rnacentral:rRNA from 1 species
GGCGAACGGGUGAGGAACACGUGAGGAAUCUGCCUUCCACUCUGGGAUAACUCCGGGAAACCGGGGCUAAUACCGGAUACUUUCAACUGGCGGCAUCGCCGGUUGAAGAAAGUUUUUCGGUGGAAGAUGACCUCGCGGCCUAUCAGCUAGUUGGUGAGGUAAUGGCUCACCAAGGCGACGACGGGUAGCCGGCCUGAGAGGGCGACCGGCCACACUGGGACUGAGACACGGCCCAGACUCCUACGGGAGGCAGCAGUGGGGAAUAUUGGGCAAUGGAGGAAACUCUGACCCAGCGACGCCGCGUGAGGGAUGAAGGCCUUCGGGUUGUAAACCUCUUUCAGCAGGGAAUAAGCGAAAGUGAAGGUACCUGCAGAAGAAGCACCGGCUAACUAUGUGCCAGCAGCCGCGGUAAUACAUAGGGUGCAAGCGUUGUCCGGAAUUAUUGGGCGUAAAGAGCUCGUAGGUGGUCGAUCACGUCGGAUGUGAAAAUCUGAGGCUUAACCUCAGACCUGCAUUCGAUACGGGUUGACUAGAGUGUGGUAGGGGAGACUGGAAUUCCUGGUGUAGCGGUGGAAUGCGCAGAUAUCAGGAGGAACACCGAUGGCGAAGGCAGGUCUCUGGGCCAUUACUGACACUGAGGAGCGAAAGCGUGGGGAGCGAACAGGAUU